AGAGUUUGAUCAUGGCUCAGGAUGAACGCUAGCUACAGGCUUAACACAUGCAAGUCGAGGGGCAGCAUGGUCUUAGCUUGCUAAGGCCGAUGGCGACCGGCGCACGGGUGAGUAACACGUAUCCAACCUGCCGUCUACUCUUGGGACAGCCUUCUGAAAGGAAGAUUAAUACAAGAUGGCAUCAUGAGUCCGCAUGUUCACAUGAUUAAAGGUAUUCCGGUAGACGAUGGGGAUGCGUUCCAUUAGAUAGUAGGCGGGGUAACGGCCCACCUAGUCUUCGAUGGAUAGGGGUUCUGAGAGGAACGGUCCCCCACAUUGGAACUAAGACACGGUCCAAACUCCUACGGGAGGCAGCA
rnacentral:rRNA from 1 species